rnacentral:lncRNA from 10 species
AGAGGCUUAGAAACCACCCCAAGAGGAGAGCUUCUUUAUCUUUCCCCUCCAGGCGGAAAGUCACCUAAAAUUUUCUCCUUAGAUGUUCACUGUGCUGUUUUUAAAUAUUUCUAGGAAAGCUCUUUUAGAAAGCUAGGAUUUAAGUACUUCACAAACAAGGCAAAGUUUGCAUGUAAGGGAUAAACUCUGCAUGCUCUAACUCAUAAUUACCAUGAUUUUAUAAACCUGGCAUUUCCUAACCAAGCUUUAUUUUCAUUUGGAGCAGUAUCUGUAAGUGAAUUCUUCAUUAAUCAUGUUUGCCCACCCAUAUACCCACCUGUAUUUUUAAAAGGUGUAUUAUUCCCAGAUAUGUGUUUAUAUAGACACAUCACAAUAUUAUUCCAAGUGCUUUUUAUCAGGCCAUGGGACACAUUUCAAAUCACUCUCUAAGUUGACAUCAUACUUGAGCCUUAUGCAGACUGUGUGGUUUCCAUAGUAACAAAAUCACUUAAUGGUGUGAGAAACAUGUGGAAGAUUAUAGAAAAAAAGGAGAAAAUCUGAAUGGAACAAAAGGCAGGAGCUAAAGUCAAAAUUUCUUGGAAUGUAAGAAAAUUUUUAUUGUCGUUUUAUUUAUCUGAAAACAUGAGUACAAACUCUCUUGAUGCUACUGGGUAUAAAUUGUGUCAGUAAAGGAUGACCUUUAAGCGUCCAAGGUCACCUUACCCCAAGCUAUAGUCUUACAGAUGCCUGCACUUCUCAUUGUGUGUGUGUGUGGGUGUGUGUGUGUGUGUGUGUGUGUGUGUGUUUGAGCAUAUGUGUAUUUCUGUAUAGCUAUAUAAGUAUAUACACGUAUAUGCAUUUGGAAGAUCCGUGGUCUCUUUUUAAAAACUGGUUUCACCAUCUUAGAUCCGAAACAGGUAGUAAGGUACUUUCUGAAAGACUUACCUUAUUUUCUCUUUGUGUACACACAAACACCAAGACAAGCUAAAUUCUUAUUUGGGUAAAUAGUAAUGGUGUACUUGGAAACACCUCUCAUUCAUUCAGUAAUUUAUUCAUUGGAGACAUUUAUUGAACAUCUCUUGUGAUAGACAGAGUCCUUGUACCAGACAGAGAGCUGUAA